CACCAACAUCCACAUUAUUUGAGUUUCUCACAGCUGUACUGAUCCUAUUCAAAUUCUGUUCUUCUGUCUAACACAAUCGUCUUUGGCAGUGUCACCAUCACAGUAUUCCAAAACAGAGUAUUUCACACUGUGCUGGAGACACCAGCAGGAACUUGACUGAAAAUUUCGGAAUUGCCUAUGUUUUUUUCUUCAAACUUUGCCCGUCCAAUUGGUGAUCUGCUAAACGUGUAUUGAGAAUAUUCAAAUCAGGCACAGGAUAAAUACUAGAUCAGCAGUCGCAGAAGAGAUCGUGCAGAUCUCUAGGCUUGGUGAGUCUUCCUUUCCAUAUUUUCUACUAACUUUAGAGGUCCAGGGGUUCUAUUGUGGUAUUUAGAUAAACAAUAAUUAUGUAUUUCAUAGCUUGAAACGCUGCAACCUUCUCACCUUGCGUUUGGCAUUCUAUAAGCUAUUUCACUAUUGAAAUCUCCAAUAUAACUGAUAUCUAGACCUACUGUAUUAUUCACUAAAUCUGAGAUUUACUUCAAUGUUUCUGUUCUUUUUUAUUUCAGUACGUAUCAUUUCCAAAAUAUCAAGCUUAAACUAUUGAAAUGGGUCUCCGUCUGCUUGUUCUGUCUGUCCUCUUAAGGACCCUGGCUACAGCUGAGCCUCUCCAGUACCAAUGCGAGUGUCACUUUCGAAUUCUAGAUGGGCAGCUCCGCAAACCCUUUCUCAUCCUUCCGGGCCCUGUGGUAGAGACCAGCGGAGGGCCGUGUGAUGCAGAGUUGAUCUGCAAGGUCCCCUGUCAGUCUAUCCUUGCUGGGUACCAGGUGACUCAUGACGUAGCAGAGCAAGCCUGUGCCACAGCAUCUCCUCCUCCUCUGGGCAACUGGGAGUUUGCGAAGUUCAGUAUGGUGAAGGACAAUGUCUGCACGUCUCAGGUGUUGGAUCCCAUUCUGAUGACAUUCACCUGUGGAGACGGGAAAGUAGUAAAGCAUACUCCUGUGACCCUGGACAACUUUAUUCUGCAUGGUGCAACAAGACUUCUGCUUGAAAAUGAAAACUGAGCGUUUCAUUUGGAACCUUUCUGAAAAAGAAAUAAAACAACUUUUGAUUGCACCUUCAAUAAUUAAACACAAUAAAGAAAAAUCAAUAAAAUCCCAAAAGUGUUGGUUGUGGUAUGAAAAUUUCUUGUCUCUUCCUCAUUGUACAAAUAAUAUCCACAGACAAGGUACUUAUCUCCUUAUCUGGAGAUAAGGCACAGAUGAAGUUUUACUUAAUAAAACAUUUAAUAAUAAUUCCAUUAGAAAACUGCUGUCAUGGUUGACAUCCCUCCUCUAGAGGGCGCUCCACAACUCUCUUGUCAUUAGAUCCGUG
rnacentral:lncRNA from 1 species